rnacentral:rRNA from 1 species
AUGCAAGUCGAGCGAACAGAUAAGGAGCUUGCUCCUUUGACGUUAGCGGCGGACGGGUGAGUAACACGUGGAUAACCUACCUAUAAGACUGGGAUAACUUCGGGAAACCGGAGCUAAUACCGGAUAACAUAUUGAACCGCAUGGUUCAAUAGUGAAAGGCGGCUUUGCUGUCACUUAUAGAUGGAUCCGCGCCGUAUUAGCUAGUUGGUAAGGUAACGGCUUACCAAGGCAACGAUACGUAGCCGACCUGAGAGGGUGAUCGGCCACACUGGAACUGAGACACGGUCCAGACUCCUACGGGAGGCAGCAGUAGGGAAUCUUCCGCAAUGGGCGAAAGCCUGACGGAGCAACGCCGCGUGAGUGAUGAAGGUCUUCGGAUCGUAAAACUCUGUUAUCAGGGAAGAACAAAUGUGUAAGUAACUGUGCACAUCUUGACGGUACCUGAUCAGAAAGCCACGGCUAACUACGUGCCAGCAGCCGCGGUAAUACGUAGGUGGCAAGCGUUAUCCGGAAUUAUUGGGCGUAAAGCGCGCGUAGGCGGUUUUUUAAGUCUGAUGUGAAAGCCCACGGCUCAACCGUGGAGGGUCAUUGGAAACUGGAAAACUUGAGUGCAGAAGAGGAAAGUGGAAUUCCAUGUGUAGCGGUGAAAUGCGCAGAGAUAUGGAGGAACACCAGUGGCGAAGCGACUUUCUGGUCUGUAACUGACGCUGAUGUGCGAAA